UGAGUAAUGUCUGGGAAACUGCCUGAUGGAGGGGGAUAACUACUGGAAACGGUAGCUAAUACCGCAUAACGUCGCAAGACCAAAGAGGGGGACCUUCGGGCCUCUUGCCAUCAGAUGUGCCCAGAUGGGAUUAGCUAGUAGGUGGGGUAAUGGCUCACCUAGGCGACGAUCCCUAGCUGGUCUGAGAGGAUGACCAGCCACACUGGAACUGAGACACGGUCCAGACUCCUACGGGAGGCAGCAGUGGGGAAUAUUGCACAAUGGGCGCAAGCCUGAUGCAGCCAUGCCGCGUGUGUGGAGAAGGCCUUCGGGUUGUAAAGCACUUUCAGCGAGGAGGAAGGUGGUGAGCUUAAUACGCUCAUCAAUUGACGUUACUCGCAGAAGAAGCACCGGCUAACUCCGUGCCAGCAGCCGCGGUAAUACGGAGGGUGCAAGCGUUAAUCGGAAUUACUGGGCGUAAAGCGCACGCAGGCGGUUUGUUAAGUCAGAUGUGAAAUCCCCGGG
rnacentral:rRNA from 1 species